rnacentral:rRNA from 1 species
UACGAAGGGGGCUAGCGGUGCUCGGAAUUACUGGGCGUAAAGCGCACGUAGGCGGUCUUUUAAGUCGGGGGUGAAAUCCUGGAGCUCAACUCCAGAACUGCCUUCGAUACUGGAAGACUUGAGUCCGGGAGAGGUGAGUGGAACUGCGAGUGUAGAGGUGAAAUUCGUAGAUAUUCGCAAGAACACCAGUGGCGAAGGCGGCUCACUGGCCCGGUACUGACGCUGAGGUGCGAAAGCGUGGGGAGCAAACAGG